rnacentral:rRNA from 1 species
GAUGAACGCUGACAGAAUGCUUAACACAUGCAAGUCUUUGGCGAAGCUGUGCUUGCACAGCCUAGCCAAGGCGGACGGGUGAGUAACGCGUAAGGAACUUGCCCUGCAGUCAGGGAUAACAGACGGAAACGACUGAUAAGACCUGGUAAAGUCAGGCGGACUCAUGUCCAGCCUGAUGAAAAGAGAUGCUGCAGGAGAGCCUUGCGUCCUAUUAGCUUGUUGGUGGGGUAACGGCCCACCAAGGCGAUGAUAGGUAGCCGGCCUGAGAGGGGGGACGGCCACAAGGGGACUGAGAUACGGCCCUUACUCCUACGGGAGGCAGCAGUGGGGAAUAUUGGACAAUGGGGGCAACCCUGAUCCAGCAAUUCUGUGUGCACGAUGAAGGUUUUCGGAUUGUAAAGUGCUUUCAGCGGGGAAGAAAAAAAUGACGGUACCUGCAGAAGAAGCGACGGCUAAAUACGUG